rnacentral:rRNA from 1 species
CACGGGGGGAGCAAGCGUUGUUCGGAAUCACUGGGCGUAAAGGGCGUGUAGGCGGUCAGGUAAGUGAGAUGUGAAAUGCCCCCGGCUCACCCGGGGACCGGCAUCUCAUACUGCUUGGCUUGAGUUCGGGAGAGGGAUGCGGAAUUCCAGGUGUAGCGGUGAAAUGCGUAGAUAUCUGGAGGAACACCGGUGGCGAAGGCGGCAUCCUGGACCGAUACUGACGCUGAGGAGCGAAGCCAGGGGAGCAAACGGG